rnacentral:rRNA from 1 species
UACGGAGGGGGUUAGCGUUGUUCGGAAUGACUGGGCGUAAAGCGCGCGUAGGCGGAUCGGAAAGUCGGGGGUGAAAUCCCGGGGCUCAACCCCCGGAAUGGCCUUCGAAACUCCCGGUCUUGAGUUCGAGAGAGGUGAGUGGAAUUCCGAGUGUAGAGGUGAAAUUCGUAGAUAUUCGGAGGAACACCAGUGGCGAAGGCGGCUCACUGGCUCGACACUGACGCUGAGGUGCGAAAGCGUGGGGAGCAAACAGG